GCUUCCAUAGUUUAACGGUAUAACUGUAGCCUUCUAGUCUAAAAGUCCGGGUUCGACUCCAGGAGAAUCAA
rnacentral:tRNA from 1 species